AGAAACUUAGGUUACACACAAACCAAGAGCCUUCAAAGCCCUAAACACGGAUAUUUACCCCGUAGUUUCUG
rnacentral:tRNA from 1 species